CCCUUAGAUGUUCUGGGCCGCACGCGCGCUACAAUGGAUGAAUCAACGCGUCAUCCUGGCCCGAAAGGGUUGGGGAACCGCUGAACCUCAUCCGUGGUUGGGAUUGGGGUUUGUAAUUAUUCCCCAUGAACUAGGAAUUCCCAGUAAGCGCGAGUCAUAAGCUCGCGUUGAUUACGUCCCUGCCCUUUGUACACACCGCCCGUCGCUACUACCGAUUGGAUGGUUUAGUGAGAUCCUCGGAUUGGUCACGGCACGGUGGCAACACUGCGUCGGUGUGCCGAGAAGACGAUCAAACUUGAUCAUCUAGAGGAAGUAAAAGUCGUAACA
rnacentral:rRNA from 1 species